UACGAGGGGUGCAAGCGUUGCUCGGAAUUAUUGGGCGUAAAGGGUAGGUAGGUGGUCUCAUUUGUCAGGGGUGAAAGCCUUGGGCUUAACCUAAGAAGUGCCCCUGAAACGGUGAGACUGGAGUCCUGGAGAGGGUCGUGGAAUUCCCGGUGUAGCGGUGAAAUGCGUAGAGAUCGGGAGGAACACCAGAGGCGAAGGCGGCGACCUGGACAGGAACUGACACUCAACUACGAAAGCGUGGGUAGCAAACAGG
rnacentral:rRNA from 1 species